UUUGGGUCUGAUAUGGCUAAGAACCAGCGGUCUAACUCAUAGAUCUAUACAUCUAAAAUAUUGAAUUUCACUGUAUGUAACUUUAAAAAUUCAAUGAAAAUACGGUGGUGGUGAACAUCCCUUCAACUUCCUUCUUAUAGAUGAGAAUUUCUCUAAUUCAGGGUUUCCUGGCACUACUGACAUUUUGAGCUGUAGAGUUCUUUGUGGUGGGAGGGCUGUUCUAUGCAUGGCAGGAUGGUGAGCUGCAUCCCUGGCCUCUACCCACUAGACACCACUAGCAUCUCCCCACCCAAGUUGUGAACCAAAAAUGUGUCCAUACAUUGUCAAAUGCACUCCGAGAUCAAAACAGUCUUUUGGAAGCCACUACCCCACCCUCUUGUGUACCAGGAUAUCUAGGUACAUAUUUACAUAAAUAUGAGUUUACAUCAUAAAUUUGUGUCAAAGCAGGCACAGAGCUCAGUUUUCCUGUUUAUCAGUAUAGUUAUUGUGAAGCAUGCUACACUACA
rnacentral:lncRNA from 1 species